GACGAACGCUGGCGGCGUGCCUAAUACAUGCAAGUCGAGCGAAUCAAUAGGAGCUUGCUCCUGUUGGUUAGCGGCGGACGGGUGAGUAACACGUGGGCAACCUGCCUGUAAGACUGGGAUAACACCGGGAAACCGGUGCUAAUACCGGAUAAUCCUUUUCCCCUCAUGAGGAAAAGCUGAAAGUCGGUUUCGGCUGACACUUACAGAUGGGCCCGCGGCGCAUUAGCUAGUUGGUGAGGUAACGGCUCACCAAGGCGACGAUGCGUAGCCGACCUGUGGGGGUGAUCGGCCACACUGGGACUGAGACACGGCCCAGACUCCUACGGGAGGCAGCAGUAGGGAAUCUUCCACAAUGGACGAAAGUCUGAUGGAGCAACGCCGCGUGAGCGAUGAAGGCCUUCGGGUCGUAAAGCUCUGUUGUUAGGGAAGAACAAGUACCGGAGUAACUGCCGGUACCUUGACGGUACCUAACCAGAAAGCCACGGCUAACUACGUGCCAGCAGCCGCCGUAAUAC
rnacentral:rRNA from 1 species